GGUCGGUUAGCUCAGUUGGUUAGAGCGUCGUACUAAUAUUAUAUGCAACUCAUGAGUGUAUAACAUUGGUCCAUGCGAAGGUCAUGGGUUCGACCCCCAUACUGACCA